rnacentral:tRNA from 1 species
UAACAAUAGCAUUUAUUGCAAUUUGAUUUCGGCUCAAAAAGAGGCCAAGCCAUUGUUCA